GACGAACGCUGGCGGCGUGCUUAACACAUGCCAGUCGAACGGAAAGGCCCUUCGGGGUACUCGAGUGGCGAACGGGUGAGUAACACGUGGGUGAUCUGCCCUGCACUUUGGGAUAAGCCUGGGAAACUGGGUCUAAUACCGAAUAGGACCACGCGCUUCAUGGUGUGUGGUGGAAAGCUUUUGCGGUGUGGGAUGGGCCCGCGGCCUAUCAGCUUGUUGGUAGGGUAAUGGCCUACCAAGGCGACGACGGGUAGCCGGCCUGAGAGGGUGACCGGCCACACUGGGACUGAGAUACGGCCCAGACUCCUACGGGAGGCAGCAGUGGGGAAUAUUGCACAAUGGGCGCAAGCCUGAUGCAGCGACGCCGCGUGAGGGAUGACGGCCUUCGGGUUGUAAACCUCUUUCACCAGGGACGAAGCGUAAGUGACGGUACCUGGAGAAGAAGCACCGGCCAACUACGUG
rnacentral:rRNA from 1 species